GAUAAGCUAGAAAUGUUUGAAACAUGCACGCAAGCAUAGAAACAACGCUAUAGAGUUGAAUUGCAUCCAAGAUUUCAGAUAGGAGUACCUUCACGUAUCUAUCGAUGAAACACAUCGUUACUUCAAACUGUUAUAUAUGAUCAAACAUGAAGUUUUAUGUCGACAAGAGCCUAUGGAAGGACUUCACUUACGUCUACACAUGUCAAAACAGAGAAAUUCAACACAAACUCAAUCAAAAUGUUUCUAGUUUACUAAAUCUCUAGACUAUUCUAAUGUUCAUGAUCUUAGCAUGGUUGAAGCUACUGCAAACAUUCCAAUCAAUAAUUCAAGAAAAAAAUUCGCAUUUGCCAUUUUAUUGUCAUUCUUUUGACACUCACCCAAGCACAAAAGUACGACCAGAAAAUAAACUAUAGCAUAUAUUUUCGUGUGCUCGGCAAGCGUCAACAGAUAAAGGUUUUAUCGAUUGUAUUAGUGGCCGCACGCCAACUUGUGAUACCACACAAAGUCAAAAAUUUUCAAACCUAUUUAUAUGUGAACUACGUUGUGGUGUACAUUAAUAAAACUGGUCCAGUGGGCGAUACUUGAA